rnacentral:rRNA from 1 species
UACGUAGGGAGCAAGCGUUGUUCGGAUUUACUGGGCGUAAAGCGCACGUAGGCGGAUCGUUAAGUCGAGGGUGAAAUCCUGGAGCUCAACUCCAGAACUGCCUUCGAUACUGGCGAUCUAGAGUCCGGAAGAGGUGAGUGGAACUCCUAGUGUAGAGGUGGAAUUCGUAGAUAUUAGGAAGAACACCAGUGGCGAAGGCGACUCACUGGUCCGGUACUGACGCUGAGGUGCGAAAGCGUGGGGAGCAAACAGG